UCUUCUGUAGCACCGCUGAAGUUUGCUGGGAGUCAACUCCAGACCUUAUUUGCCUGAGUCCCUUCUUAACAUGGAGGUAUCACCAGUGGAGGCUAGAGAACAGCAAAGAUGGCAGCCUUCUUCUUCUUCUGGGAGCUCUGUCCCAGAGGCACACUGACCUAUUGCCAGCCAGAACACCCCUGUAUGAGGUACCCAAACUAAGAAGCCGAUGAAACUAGUUUUUCAGCCCUUAGCACAUCACCCAUAAAUGGAGACAAGGUGAUCAAGAGAUGCUGAGGAGGGCUGAUAGUGGAGAGAAUUGUUGGAAAGCAUGAAUUUCCCCAACCACAGAAGAAAGAGCCUGUGGUUUAUUUUCUCUUGUCUGGACACUGUUCCAUGAACCCCAGGAGAGAGGCAUCAUCACAGAAGCCUUGGCAUUUGUCAAACGAUGAGCAGCGUGAGGUGAUGGAGCCAGGCACCCAGCAGGGACCCAGUAGAUGCUGCAUGGGCUGGCUGGCAGGUGGCCCUGAUGACUUUGGGAGUUGGGGAAUCUGCACUGACUGCCUGUUUGUCUCCUGUCUGGGGAUGAAGUGGGAGGACUCUUCAGUGAAAAAGCACAGCUAACUCCAAAGUCACAUUUUCCAAAGCAGCCUUGCCAUUUACCUGCUUUGGUUUACAGAAAGAAACAAGGCUUCAUCUUUGAUCCUAUGUUCCUCAAUGCGUUGUAGCUUUUGAGUCUUAUCUGAACUGAUGUCCAGACUGACACAUUUUGGGGAAGAGCAUCCCCAGCAUGCUGACAGAUGGCUGGCACACCUGUCUUCCUGAGUCUUGGUUCCAAAAACAAUACAGCAUUUUGCUUGUUCAAGAUUUCUGUGUAAAAAUUUACACGUUUUCUAGAGAAUAUGCAGAAAGUGAAAACUGUAAAUGUAAACUAGUAUAAUUUGAAAAC